UACGAAGGGGGCUAGCGUUGCUCGGAAUCACUGGGCGUAAAGGGCGCGUAGGCGGCCAUUCAAGUCGGAGGUGAAAGCCCAGGGCUCAACCCUGGAAUUGCCUUCGAUACUGUUUGGCUGGAGACCGGAAGAGGUAAGUGGAACUGCGAGUGUAGAGGUGAAAUUCGUAGAUAUUCGCAAGAACACCAGUGGCGAAGGCGGCUCACUGGCCCGAUACUGACGCUGAGGCACGAAAGCGUGGGGAGCAAACAGG
rnacentral:rRNA from 1 species